AGUGAACGCUGGCGGUAGGCCUAACACAUGCAAGUCGAACGGCAGCACAGUAAGAGCUUGCUCUUACGGGUGGCGAGUGGCGGACGGGUGAGGAAUACAUCGGAAUCUACUUUUUCGUGGGGGAUAACGUAGGGAAACUUACGCUAAUACCGCAUACGACCUACGGGUGAAAGCAGGGGAUCUUCGGACCUUGCGCGAUUGAAUGAGCCGAUGUCGGAUUAGCUAGUUGGCGGGGUAAAGGCCUACCAAGGCGACGAUCCGUAGCUGGUCUGAGAGGAUGUACGGCCACCUUGGGACUGCGAUACGGCCCAGACUCCUACGGGAGGCAGCAGUGGCGAAUAUUGCACAACCGGCGCAAGCCUGAUGCAGCGACGCCGCGUGUGUGAUGACGGCCUUCGGGUUGUAAACUCCUUUCGCUAGGUACGCAGCGCAAGUGACGGUACCUGGAGAAGAAGCACCGGCUAACUACGUG
rnacentral:rRNA from 1 species